UUUAUGCCUGUUCCACGGCGACUGUGCACUCGGUUGUUCACCUUGAUUGCUAGGCAGAUCGGUAAGAGACCCGCAAGCAACACUGCAGUCUCGUUAGUGAUAUUUGCUUCCUCUAGAGGUUGCUUGAGCCUGGAGAUCAUCGUCAUCUCCGUCUUUGCAUUAGCCAGUUCCAAGCGAUGCUCGAGAAGCCACUGCUCCACUGCUGUCACUGCUUCCUCCGCUGCUGCUGCUGCUACUGUUAUCGAAGUUGUGCCUGGGACUAACAGCACCAAAUCAUCGCCAUAGCCAAUGAUCUCUGCCCCUGGCGAUAGCCCGACUUCGAAACCCCCGUCAUAAAUAAUAUUCCACAUUGUAGGGCCCAGUAUGGACCCCUGUGGGACUCCUGCACUGAUGUGUCGUUCGAUAGGGCCUUCGCUAGUGUCAAACAGCAGCUUGCGUCCUUCGAAAUAGUGUGUGUAUGUGUGUGAAUCACUAGGAAAUUGCGGCCCAAAUCGUGGUACCAUCAUUCACCUCGGCCAAAAAGAAUCGGUGAAAACAAUUAUGGGUUCCCGCUCUUCGGACAAAACAUCCCCAAUGCAGGCGUCGGAUGCACCGACAACUCCUCCCCCAGGACCAGCAGCUGUUCCGGUAAUGCCGAACGCCCCGGGUGACGCUUCCAGUGGGCCGACGUCAGCCAUGCAGACUCCUACAGGCACAGCUGCCACAAACCGGCUUGUGUCAGCAAUGCAACAGGCGGCUCAAAAGGAUGCUGCUAUAGAGCAACAGGCCUCGAGUGAGCCAUCACAAGAACAAACUCCUCAACGAUCUGCUCAGAGUGCAGCAGGAAUGCAGCAGGCGGCUCGAGCAGAUGAUGCUCCGGUAAACAACUUAUCCUUUUCACCUUCCAUAACUAUAGACAAUUUUUCGAUAUCGUUGAUAAUCGUCCCUCCUCUACGGGGAUUACGCCGCGCAGGACAAUGGUGUUCAUCAAUGAAAAGUGCGUUUUUAAGAGCAUUUAAUAGACGAUAAUGAGGGUCAUCAUUGUUACAGAAAAGACUAUAAUCAGGACACACCACUUUCUAAUUUCCAACACAACCAUAAUCUACAAACCUUUGGAUCAGGAAAUAUUUUUUUGUUGUUGUCGAGUCAUUUUGUAAUCAUAAAAAAGCGAGUUUAUAUGUUUAAAGUGUAAGGGCAAUAAAGUGGCAACAAAGGGAGAUUUUCACCGAAGGAACUCUCUCUGCACUGUUGUCAAGGCAGGUAAUAUUGACGAGAGUGUAAUGAUAGGAGAAUUAACAUUGACAUACUUAAACGUAUAUAAAAGGCUCGUGAUAAGAUCAUCUUAAAGGCCAAAAGGCUAGUGAUAGGAUAACUAAUAGUAAGAUACUUUAAUGUAUACACUAGGCUAAUGAUUGGAGAGUCUAAAUUAUCAAAAAGGAUAGUUAUAAGAGAGUUAGGAACAAGUUAGUUUAAGAAAUCUGUUCUAGAACUAGUCAUGAACACCAGUGACCAGCGGCUUUUAGCCACUUUCUUUCAGCUUCGUCGCGCGUGGGAUCUCAACUGAUUGCUAUUUCUACGUAUAUAACCAACACAAUUCUUUGACAAAAUAUCUUUCCUAACCAUUUCGUAGGAAGGCAUAUUUGUAAACACCUUUAUUUCAUAAUGCUAUGCACAUUGCUUUUCGUUUCUCUUUUCUUUCUUUCUUUCAUUCAUGUUUAGGUACUUUUUCUCUUUGACUUAAUAUCAGUAUUGCUUUUUUUAUUAUUUAGCAAAGCAGAGCUGUGCCCUUAUGUUUGCCGGUUCGCUGAAGAUUACUUUCUCGAAUGGAAUAUGUGCCCGACAUCACCAUGCCCAUGGAUGAGCAGAUAGCGAAACAUCGUCUGGAGAAUAGAUGGCAGCAUAAAUGGCUUUUAUUAUUUAACUAAUAAAGACUGACUAAACCCUCUGUUCCUAGCGUGUAGGCCGGCAUCGCAUGGAUCGAGCUUAUGGUAUACAUAGUUGAUGAAUUGGCUACCAUCAUCACGACACCGUAUGCGCUACAGAGGAAAGGUGAAAACAUACCUUCCAUGAAAACAAACAAAGUUGUCGCCGGCUGGUUGUACAUGACUGCGGGAACCAGAUUAUGCCAACGAUUUUGACGGGAAAAGGCAAGUGGAAAGCAAUGUGGUGAAAUUGGCCAACAUAGCCCGAUAAAAUCUGGCUGCAUUCUUCUUCAUCGACCACCCCGCAACGUCGGCAAUACUACUUCGGAACUCUGUAACGUUAGUACCAGCCAACAACAUACCUUGUAAUUCAACAAGAAGAGCUUAGGCAGGAUUUGCUAUCCAAGCUACUCGAAGUCUCAUCAUAGAUGUGUCCCAGCUAGAACGAAGAAGACUGUUACUACAAUUGAUGUGAUAUUCAAUAUAAGACCGAACACAACUACCCAAGAUAUUGAAAAUAUACGAAAAGAUCCAUCAUA